AUAUAUUUAGUUUAAAUCAAAACUAAUUUUUUUCAAAAAUUCAAUGCCUAAAGACAAUAUAGAAG
rnacentral:tRNA from 1 species